rnacentral:rRNA from 1 species
AUUGAACGCUGGUGGCAGGCCUAACACAUGCAAGUCGAGCGAGCGGCGGACGGGUGAGUAAUGUCUGGGGACUGCCCGAUAGAGGGGGAUAACUACUGGCAACGGUGGCUAAUACCGCAUACUAUCGGAUAACCCCAAUGGGCUUAGCUAGUAGGUGGGGUAAAGGCUCACCUAGGCGACGAUCCCUAGCUGGUCUGAGAGGAUGAUCAGCAACACUGGAACUGAGACACGGCCCAGGUUCCAAGGGAGGCAGCAGUGGGGAAUAUUGCACAAUGGGCGCAAGCCUGAUGCAGCCAUGCCGCGUGUAUGAAGAAGGCCUUAGGGUUGUAAAGUACUUGCAGCGGGGAGGCGUUACUCGCAGAAGAAGCACCGGCUAACUCCGUGCCAGCAGCCGCGGUAAUAC